rnacentral:rRNA from 1 species
GACGAACGCUGGCGGCGUGCUUAACACAUGCAAGUCGAACGGUGAAGCGCUUUCCUUUUUGGUUGGUGUGGAUGAGUGGCGAACGGGUGAGUAACACGUGAGUAACCUGCCCCCUUCUUCUGGAUAACCGCAUGAAAGUGUGGCUAAUACGGGAUAUUCUGCGCCUGCUGCAUGGUGGGUGUGGGAAAGAUUGUGCCUUUGGGUGUUUUCGGUGGGGGAUGGGCUCGCGGCCUAUCAGCUUGUUGGUGGGGUGAUGGCCUACCAAGGCGGUGACGGGUAGCCGGCCUGCGAGGGUGGACGGUCACACUGGGACUGAGACACGGCCCAGACUCCUACGGGAGGCAGCAGUGGGGAAUAUUGCACAAUGGGCGCAAGCCUGAUGCAGCGACGCCGCGUGAGGGAUGGAGGCCUUCGGGUUGUGAACCUCUUUCGCCAGUGAAGCAGGCCUGCUCCUUGUGGGUGGGUUGACGGUAGCUGGAUAAGAAGCGCCGGCUAACUACGUG